rnacentral:rRNA from 1 species
CUUACCCAUGUCUUUUGAGUACCUUACGUUUCCUCGGCGGGUCCGCCCGCCGAUUGGACAANACUUUAAACCAUUUGCAGUUGCAAUCAGCGUCUGAAAAAANCUUAAUAGUUACAACUUUCAACAACGGAUCUCUUGGUUCUGGCAUCGAUCAAGAACGCAGCGAAAUGCGAUAAGUAGUGUGAAUUGCAGAAUUCAGUGAAUCAUCGAAUCUUUGAACGCACAUUGCGCCCCUUGGUAUUCCAUGGGGCAUGCCUGUUCGAGCGUCAUUUGUACCUUCAAGCUCUGCUUGGUGUUGGGUGUUUGUCUCGCCUCUGCGUGUAGACUCGCCUCAAAACNAAUUGGCAGCCGGCGUAUUGAUUUCGGAGCGCNAGUACAUCUCGCGNCUUUGNCACUCAUACACGACGAGCGUCNCAAAANGUACAUUUUUNACACUCUUGACCUCGGAUCAGGUAGGGAUACCCG